rnacentral:rRNA from 1 species
AUUGAACGCUGGCGGCAUGCCUUACACAUGCAAGUCGAACGGCAGCAUGGGUGCUUGCACCUGAUGGCGAGUGGCGAACGGGUGAGUAAUGCAUCGGAACGUACCCGGAAGUGGGGGAUAACGUAGCGAAAGUUACGCUAAUACCGCAUAUUCUGUGAGCAGGUAAGCGGGGGAUCGCAAGACCUCGCGCUUCCGGAGCGGCCGAUGUCGGAUCAGCUAGUUGGCGGGGUAAAGGCCCACCAAGGCAACGAUCCGUAGCGGGUCUGAGAGGAUGAUCCGCCACACUGGGACUGAGACACGGCCCAGACUCCUACGGGAGGCAGCAGUGGGGAAUUUUGGACAAUGGGGGCAACCCUGAUCCAGCCAUGCCGCGUGAGUGAAGAAGGCCUUCGGGUUGUAAAGCUCUUUCGGCUGGGAAGAAAUCGCAUCUCCUAAUACGGGGUGUGGAUGACGGUACCAGCAUAAGAAGCACCGGCUAACUACGUGCCAGCAGCCGCGGUAA